CGAAAGCCUGACGGAGCAACGCCGCGUGAGGGACGAAGGCCUCUGGGCUGUAAACCCCUUUUCUCAAGGAAGAAGACCUGACGGUACUUGAGGAAUAAGCAUCGGCUAACUCCGUGCCAGCAGCCGCGGUAAUACGGAGGAUGCAAGCGUUAUUCGGAAUUAUUGGGCGUAAAGGGUCCGCAGGUGGUAAUUCAAGUCUGCUGUCAAAGACCGAAGCUUAACUUCGGAAAGGCGGUGGAAACUGAAAAACUAGAGUACGGUAGGGGUAGAGGGAAUUUCCAGUGUAGCGGUGAAAUGCGUAGAGAUUGGGAAGAACACCAGUGGCGAAGGCGCUCGACUGGGCCGUAACUGACACUCAGGGACGAAAGCUAGGGGAGCG
rnacentral:rRNA from 1 species